rnacentral:rRNA from 1 species
UACGAAGGGGGCUAGCGUUGUUCGGAAUUACUGGGCGUAAAGCGCACGUAGGCGGAUCGAUCAGUCAGGGGUGAAAUCCCAGGGCUCAACCCUGGAACUGCCUUUGAUACUGUCGAUCUGGAGUAUGGAAGAGGUGAGUGGAAUUCCGAGUGUAGAGGUGAAAUUCGUAGAUAUCAGGAAGAACACCCGUGGCGAAAGCGGCUCUCUGGGACGGUACUGACGCUGAGACGCGAAAGCGUGGGGAGCGAACAGG